GUAUAAUACAAUCAUGCGAAGACAAACGAAGAAGAAUAUUUUCACAACUGUUUUAAGAAACACACGAAGGAGGAAAGUUUUCCGGCGUGUUUCGGGGUAGGGGUGUCCAGGUGCCUCCCCCCCACUUGAGCUCACACUGUUGAGUCCUAUCAGACGUCCUGAGGAACGCUCUGAUCUCUAUAGCCUGGAUUGGGACGGAGAAAGACGGGUUGAAACAGUCAUCAGGCGGUAGCCUAAAAUGAUGAAUGUAAGAUGCUCAUGAUCCAGCCCACCAUGAUGACGGCCGUCGCAAUCUGGAUGAGAGCGGCUGCCACGUUGAGCCAAAAGACGCAGCACGCGCCGCGCUCGGCCACCAGCUCGCUGCGAGCGCCGCACAGCACCGUGAAGGCUGAGAUGAAGGCUGGCGAUAAGCUCCUUCUUCUUGUUCUCUCUGCCAAACACUGCCGGCAUCUCCUUCUUCAGAGAGCUGAUGAUGUACGCGUGGACCUGCGUGACGGGAUUCAAAGAAUGCAUCAGGACAACAUCAAGCACAGCUGCACACGGAUCCCUGGGGUGUCAAUCACGCUGAUGCUCUCCAACACUGGCUGGUCUUGCCUGUGGAGUACUGGCCCACCAGCAGGACCAUGGGCUUGUUGUCAAAGUCGGCAUCCUCCAGCGCCGGCGAGUGGAACUC